rnacentral:rRNA from 1 species
GAUGAACGCUGGCGGCGUGCCUAAUACAUGCAAGUCGAGCGAACGGACGAGAAGCUUGCUUCUCUGAUGUUAGCGGCGGACGGGUGAGUAACACGUGGAUAACCUACCUAUAAGACUGGGAUAACUUCGGGAAACCGGAGCUAAUACCGGAUAAUAUUUUGAACCGCAUGGUUCAAAAGUGAAAGACGGUCUUGCUGUCACUUAUAGAUGGAUCCGCGCUGCAUUAGCUAGUUGGUAAGGUAACGGCUUACCAAGGCAACGAUGCAUAGCCGACCUGAGAGGGUGAUCGGCCACACUGGAACUGAGACACGGUCCAGACUCCUACGGGAGGCAGCAGUAGGGAAUCUUCCGCAACGGGCGAAAGCCUGACGGAGCAACGCCGCGUGAGUGAUGAAGGUCUUCGGAUCGUAAAACUCUGUUAUUAGGGAAGAACAUAUGUGUAAGUAACUGUGCACAUCUUGACGGUACCUAAUCAGAAAGCCACGGCUAACUACGUGCCAGCAGCCGCGGUAAUACGUAGGUGGCAAGCGUUAUCCGGAAUUAUUGGGCGUAAAGCGCGCGUAGGCGGUUUUUUAAGUCUGAUGUGAAAGCCCACGGCUCAACCGUGGAGGGUCAUUGGAAACUGGAAAACUUGAGUGCAGAAGAGGAAAGUGGAAUUCCAUGUGUAGCGGUGAAAUGCGCAGAGAUAUGGAGGAACACCAGUGGCGAAGGCGACUUUCUGGUCUGUAACUGACGCUGAUGUGCGAAAGCGUGGGGAUCAAACAGGAUUAGAUACCCUGGUAGUCCACGCCGUAAACGAUGAGUGCUAAGUGUUAGGGGGUUUCCGCCCCUUAGUGCUGCAGCUAACGCAUUAAGCACUCCGCCUGGGGAGUACGACCGCAAGGUUGAAACUCAAAGGAAUUGACGGGGACCCGCACAAGCGGUGGAGCAUGUGGUUUAAUUCGAAGCAACGCGAAGAACCUUACCAAAUCUUGACAUCCUUUGACAACUCUAGAGAUAGAGCUUUCCCCUUCGGGGGACAAAGUGACAGGUGGUGCAUGGUUGUCGUCAGCUCGUGUCGUGAGAUGUUGGGUUAAGUCCCGCAACGAGCGCAACCCUUAAGCUUAGUUGCCAUCAUUAAGUUGGGCACUCUAAGUUGACUGCCGGUGACAAACCGGAGGAAGGUGGGGAUGACGUCAAAUCAUCAUGCCCCUUAUGAUUUGGGCUACACACGUGCUACAAUGGACAAUACAAAGGGCAGCGAAACCGUGAGGUCAAGCAAAUCCCAUAAAGUUGUUCUCAGUUCGGAUUGUAGUCUGCAACUCGACUACAUGAAGCUGGAAUCGCUAGUAAUCGUAGAUCAGCAUGCUACGGUGAAUACGUUCCCGGGUCU